rnacentral:rRNA from 1 species
GACGAACGCUGGCGGCGUGCUUAACACAUGCAAGUCGAACGGAAAGGCCCUGCUUUUGUUGGGUGCUCGAGUGGCGAACGGGUGAGUAACACGUGAGUAUCCUGCACUUGUAUUUGGGAUAUCUUCAGGAAACUGGGGCUAAUACCGGAUAGGAGCUCCUGCUGCAUGGGGUGGGUUGGAUAGUUUCGGCGGUUGGGGAUAGACUCGCGGCUUAUGGGCUGGUUGGGGGGGUAGUGGUUUACCCAGGGUUUGCUGGGUCGCCGGCCUGGGAGGUUGAACGGCGACAUGGGUACUAAGGGAGGGCCCAGACUCCAACGGUAGGCAGCAGUGGGGAGUAUUGCACAGUGGGGGGGAGCCUGAUACGGCAACGCCGCGUGCGGGAAGACGGCCUUCGGGUGGAAAACCGCUUUCGCAUGUGACGAAGCGUGAGUGACGGUAAUGAGUAAAGAAGCACCGGCUAACUACGUG